rnacentral:rRNA from 1 species
AUACGGAGGGAGCGAGCGUUAAUCGGAAUUACUGGGCGUAAAGCGCGCGUAGGCGGCUUUGUAAGUCGGAUGUGAAAGCCCUGGGCUCAACCUGGGAAUGGCAUUCGAUACUGCAGAGCUAGAGUAUGGUAGAGGGAAGUGGAAUUUCCGGUGUAGCGGUGAAAUGCGUAGAUUGCGGAAGGAACACCAGUGGCGAAGGCGACUUCCUGGGCCAAUACUGACGCUGAGGUGCGAAAGCGUGGGGAGCAAACAGGAUUAGAAACCCGAGUAGUCC